rnacentral:rRNA from 1 species
UCCCUAUGGGGUGCAGCAGGCGAGAAAACUUUGCAAUGUGCGAAAGCACGACAAGGUUAAUCCGAGUGGUUUCUGCUAAAGGAACCUUUCGUCAGUCCUAGAAACACUGAUGAAUAAGGGGUGGGCAAGUUCUGGUGUCAGCCGCCGCGGUAAAACCAGCACCUCAAGUGGUCAGGAUGAUUAUUGGGCCUAAAGCGUCCGUAGCCGGCUCUGUAAGUUUUCGGUUAAAUCUGUACGCUCAACGUACAGGCUGCCGGGAAUACUGUAGAGCUAGGGAGUGGGAGAGGUAAACGGUACUCGGUAGGAAGGGGUAAAAUCCUUUGAUCUAUUGAUGACCACCUGUGGCGAAGGCGGUCUACCAGAACACGUCCGACGGUGAGGGAUGAAAGCUGGGGGAGCAAACCGGAUUAGAUACCCGGGUAGUCCCAGCUGUAAACUAUGCAAACUCAGUGAUGCAUUGGCUUGUGGCCAAUGCAGUGCUGCAGGGAAGCCGUUAAGUUUGCCGCCUGGGAAGUACGUACGCAAGUAUGAAACUUAAAGGAAUUGGCGGGGGAGCACCACAAGGGGUGAAGCCUGCGGUUCAAUUGGAUUCAACGCCGGAA